ACUACAGGUGGUGUGCACCUACAGUCACAGCAACACGGGAGGCUGAGGCCAGAGGAUCACUUGAGUCCAAGCGUUCUGGGCUAUAGUGUGCUAUACCCAUAGGGUGUCCAACACUAAGUUCAGCAUUAGCAGAGUGACCGCCUAGGAAUGGGGACCACUAGGUUGCCUAGGGAAGGCUGGACCGGCCAGGUCAGAAAACACUCUUGCUCAUCUGUAGUGGGAUCGCAUCUGUGAAUAUCCACUGCACUCCAGCCUGGGCAACAUAGUGAGACCCCAUGUCU
rnacentral:SRP_RNA from 1 species